UAGGGAAUCUUCCACAAUGGGCGCAAGCCUGAUGGAGCAACACCGCGUGAGUGAAGAAGGUUUUCGGAUCGUAAAGCUCUGUUGUAAGAGAAGAACGUGUGUGGGAGUGGAAAGUUCACACAGUGACGGUAACUUACCAGAAAGGGACGGCUAACUACGUGCCAG
rnacentral:rRNA from 1 species